UACGUAGGGUGCGAGCGUUAAUCGGAAUUACUGGGCGUAAAGCGUGCGCAGGCGGUGAUGUAAGACCGAUGUGAAAUCCCCGGGCUUAACCUGGGAACUGCAUUGGUGACUGCAUUGCUGGAGUAUGGCAGAGGGGGGUGGAAUUCCGCGUGUAGCAGUGAAAUGCGUAGAGAUGCGGCGGAACACCGAUGGCGAAGGCAGCCCCCUGGGCUGAGAUUGACGCUCAGGCACGAAAGCGUGGGGAGCAAACAGG
rnacentral:rRNA from 1 species